AGUCUUAUAGUCAAUAAAUGAUUUUAAAUUGCAAAUUUAAAGGUAAGUAAAUUUAAGGCUU
rnacentral:tRNA from 1 species